rnacentral:tRNA from 2 species
GCCCGGGUGGCGGAAUCGGUAGACGCGCCGGACUCAAAAUCCGGUUCCCCUCAAAGGAGUGUGGGUUCGAGUCCCACCCCGGGUA